ACGCACGCUGGCGGCGUGCUUAACACAUGCAAGUCGAACGGAAAGGCCCUGCUUUUGUGGGGUGCUCGAGUGGCGAACGGGUGAGUAACACGUGAGUAACCUGCCCUUGACUUUGGGAUAACUUCAGGAAACUGGGGCUAAUACCGGAUAGGAGCUCCUGCUGCAUGGUGGGGGUUGGAAAGUUUCGGCGGUUGGGGAUGGACUCGCGGCUUAUCAGUUUGUUGGUGGGGUAGUGGCUUACCAAGGCUUUGACGGGUAGCCGGCCUGAGAGGGUGACCGGCCACAUUGGGACUGAGAUACGGCCCAGACUCCUACGGGAGGCAGCAGUGGGGAAUAUUGCACAAUGGGCGGAAGCCUGAUGCAGCAACGCCGCGUGCGGGAUGACGGCCUUCGGGUUGUAAACCGCUUUCGCCUGUGACGAAGCGUGAGUGACGGUAAUGGGUAAAGAAGCACCGGCUAACUACGUG
rnacentral:rRNA from 1 species